CUUCUGGUUUAGAACUUAGCCUUUAACUAUAACCGCUGUUUCAAUACAAAUUUGUGAUGUGCCCCCGGCCGCCUCAUGGCUGCGAUUUUACCUACUCGACGCUUCUUCUCGGAAGGGCACACAUUGGGGAUUCGCGUUGAAUCCAUGGGCUUUCAAUGCGAAGGAGCGUGUUCUUAUUACUAUUUCUGCAAAUUCAGGUGCUGAAUCUGUUUUUGCCAUACAUAUUGUUAGCGCAGUGAAGAUAUUUUAUGAGGAAACCCUCCCUUCUUUUCAUGGCCAUGACACUGCAGCAUAUGUUGCUGAAAAAGAAGGGUUGCUAAUUUAUAAGCUGACAGAGCAUAAAGGACAAAUUUGCGAGGGAUACAAUUUGACGUUACCAAAAGCAGACAACCCUUUAUUCUACUGCUGCCUGGUGGAUUGGCAGUGCAAAGUGAAUUAUAUGUUUCAGGUUUUGUUCUAUAUUUGUUGUGGCUUCUUGGUAACAAAUUUGCGAGGGAUACAAUGUGACGUUACCAAAAGCUGACAACCCUUUACUCUACCGCUGCCUGGUGGAUUGGCAUUGAUACUAUCCAUGUUUUACCGGGAUACCAUGUCUUGGGGAGUCAUUCGAGACUAUGUUGCUCCUCUGGUAGACAUGAUUUGAAAUUUAGACCAUACCAGCAUGAGUUUCCCAAAAAAUAGUUGUUGGAUCGCGUUCAACCUAGUUAUGUCUUAUGAAAUAUAUAAGCCCUAGCAAACCAAGUGUGAACUCUACUAACAAGAAGCUGUCUUCCAUGUGUGUCAAUAAUUGCCACUUUGAGCUCCUUUGGCGACCAAUGCUUAACAAAAGUCUCAAACAUUGGUAGCUGCUUGUAUCUCCCUAGAUUCCAUGUGAGGGGUAAGUAAGGAGGAGAUGAUCCAUGCCACCUUGUCAUCUUGGCAAAAUAGUUUGCUAAAUAGUUGAGUCCAAACUGCUUUUUGCUCAAGCAAGUUUGGUGCGUUGUAGUUGGUGACCUAAUUCCAGAUCAGGAUGCCUCCAUUAUUGGUUUAAUAAUGGUUAUCUUUAGACGUUAUUAUUGACAUCAAAAUAUAAAAUACAAAGCUACUCCCAGGUCUAGUCUCUCUCUCUCUCUUUUAAUUUGCUGAUGGUUCUUCUACAUAAGGGUCGACCAUUGGGCCCUUAUGCAGAAAUAAUUCAGUCAAAAGAGCUUGAAACCUAAAAUUUUUCAAGAAUUUAGAAUCGGAUGUAGUAUUGGCAUUAGAUUUAAUGCUAACCGAUCUAUAUCUAGGAAAAUCAUUGUUUUUUCAAGAGACAUAAGAUAUUGAAUUACUUUGGGAAUACUUGUAUACUCAUGUUUGCUAUUGAAAGUUCAAUUAGAUUA